rnacentral:lncRNA from 1 species
AAUGAAACAGGAGAGUUCCCUGAUUUCCUCCCGGCCCCCGCCCUCCCACAGCCCUUUGCAGGACGUGCAACAGGGUUGUGGCUCGUGUGUUCGGUCUCUGCCUGCUGAAACCCCUUAUGGGAGGUGGAGCAUGCAGACGGACGGGUGCAGGAGCCAGGGUGCAAAAGCUGGGGCGCUGGGCUUCCAGCCCCACGGCAGUGUCCAGGGGCAGGAUCCCGUGAUUCCCGGAGCCCAAAUGGGCGUGUGUUACAGUGUGCUCUUUUAGCCUUACCAUCAGCUGACGGCUUAAGUGUUAACCAGCUCAAUAGACCCUCUGCCUUUUUGCAAGCGCAGAGGGUCAGUGUGACAGUUUCUGUAUCUCAGCUCUUGUCUCACCUCCCAGAAGAAUCAGGUCACACAUGGACUUGAAGGAUGACGGGCCUGUCUAAUUGCAGGAAAACAAACUCAGGGCUCCCACUGAUUCUACAUUACGAUAAAUACCUGGAGUGGGAUUGCUAGAUCACAUGGAAAACACAGAUCCUGGUGCCGAACAUGAGGACAGGGCAGGCCGAAGGAGAAAGUGGAAGGAGGGGAGCUUCUCUCUCAGCCUCAUCCUUCUGGGCCUGGAUGCUGGAGAGUCAUGAGGUGCUUCAGAGUACUCUGGGUGAGGAGGGAAAGAUGGUGCCCACCACAUGGAGGCCAGCCUAGGUCUUGUAUGAAACCUGUGAGGCCAGCAGGAGCCAGGCCGUGGCCUGCUGACUGCAUCUGCCAGAUGACUACCAAUGUUUUUAUAGAUUGAGAGGAACUACGCUCAAGGAGCCUCAUGCAUACCUGGACCUGAUUUAAAUGAUGAGAUGCUGGACUUCAAGCAGAUGCUGUAAUGAUAUGAGGUUCUCAGGGACCUUGGGAAAUAGUAAAUGUAUUUUGUGUGUGAGAGGGACACAAAUCAUUGGAGGCCAAAAGGGUGAACUGAGGACAGAUGCUAGGGUAGCUCCCACAAUCCCCACCUCCUGGUUUCACCCUUGUGGGAUCUCGCCAUGAGUGUGGAUGGAACCUGUGAUUUGCUUCUAACUAGUAGAAUUUGGCAAAAAAUGAUGAGAUAUAUGUGAUUAUGUUUACAUGAUUAUAUUAUAUAAGAUUCUGAGUACAUUGAGCUGCAUAGAGAGAGCACGGGGGCAAGUGAGAGCCAGGUGGGUACUGGAAAGCUCUGUGCCUCACUGAGGAAAAAUAACUAAACAUGGGCAAAAGAGAUCCAUGGAACCUGAGAGGCAAGGUGUUAUUAUAUGCAUUCUUUGGCAAACUUGUCAGGAGGCGCAUAAGAAGAAGCACCCAGAUGGUUCAGUCAACUUCUCAGUUUUCUAGGAAGUGCUCAGAGAGGUGCAAGACCAUGUCUGCUAAAGAGAAAGGGAAAUUUGAAGACAUGGCAAAGGCGAACAAGGCUCGUUAUGAAAGACAGAUGAAAACCUAUAUCCCUCCUAAAGAUCCCCUUUAGGACGAAAAAGUAGUUCAAGGAUCCCAAUGCACCCAAGAGGCAUUCUUUGGCUGUUUUCUUGUUCUGUUCUGAGUAUUGCCCGAAAAUCAAAGGAGAACAUCCUGGCCUAUCCAUUGGUGAGUUGUAAAGAAAUUGGAAGAGAUGUGGAAGGGCACUGCCUCAGAUGAUAAGCAGCCUUAUGAAAAGAAGGCUGUGAAGCUGAAGGAAAAAUAUGAAAAGGAUAUUGCCUCAUACUGAGCUAAAGGAAAGCCUGAUGCAGCAAAAAAGGGAGUUGUCACGGCUAAAAAAAGCAAAAAAAGGAAGAAGAGGAAGAUGAAGAUGAUGAUGAUGAUGAUAAUGAGAGAUUCUCUCUCCCUUGCUGUCUUUGAAAAAGCAAGUUGCCAUGUGAAGAGGGCCAUAUAGCAUAGGAGCUGAAGGCAGCCUCCAACUGACGGCAAGAAAAUGAGGUCCUCAGUCUGACAACCUGCAAGAAACUGAAUGUUCUAAAAGCCACAUGAGCUUGGGAGCAGAUCUGACCCCAGCCAAAUCUCUGAAGUCCGCAGGCAGGAAAUGAAGAUCAGAAAAAGGCUAUUGUCUCAUGAAUAUGAGCCAGACUCCACAGAAGCUGGAGUCCUUCAUUAUGGAGCUAAACACAUACACCUGGCUUAGGAGUCAGAAAAACUGAAAGAGAAUUCAGGGAAGUAGAGAAAUUGCAAGCCCAGAUGCUGCUUCAUACCAAAGAAGCAAGUCAGCAGGUCAGCAACAAUGUGUAUCAGUUCCAAAAUGACUUACACAGGUACCAAGACAAGACAUUAUAUACACUUAUAUAGUCAAAUACUUUAAAACUGUUAACAAACUUGCUACAAUUGUCUCAUUUGUCUUUUAACCUUAAUAUCACAGAUCAAGUUUGUAAUCUCAAAAGUUCACCCUGGCUGCUGUGUGGAGUAUUCUCUUAUCUGCUCAUAUUACACUGUGCUUAUUCAUUCAUCAGUUAAUGGAAAUUUGGGUUGUUUCCUGAUUUUGACUGUAAUGAAUAAUGUUGCUGUAAACAUUCAUGUACAGUUUUGUGUGGACAUGCUUUUCUUUCUCUUGGGUAGGUUCCUAUGAGUGGAAUCACUAGAUUGUAUGGUAAAUGUAUGUUUAACUUUUAAAGAAACUGUCAAACUGUUUUCUAACAUGAACGGGCCAUUUUACGUUCUUAUCAACAAUAUAUGAUGGUUUCAAUUUUCCCAC